GUCCAUCAGCCGCGGUAAUACGAAGGGACCUAGCGUAGUUCGGAAUUACUGGGCGUAAAGCGUACGUAGGCGGAUUAAUAAGUUAGAGGUGAAAUCCCAGGGCUCAACCCUGGAACUGCCUUUAAAACUGUUAGUCUUGAGAUCGAGAGAGGUGAGUGGAAUUCCAAGUGUAGAGGUGAAAUUCGUGGAUAUUUGGAGGAACACCAGUGGCGAAGGCGGCUCACUGGCUCGAUACUGACGCUGAGGUAGGAAAGCGUGGGGAGCAAACAGGAUUAGAUA
rnacentral:rRNA from 1 species